CCUUAAGUACGCUAUGAAGAAUAUACAAAACCUUUACCGUACCUUUAUUUCGGUAUACCUUACCGAAUUUCGGUAUACCGCACUUUAAUGGUAUACCAAAAUAAUCGGUAUUACCGAAAUCGAAAAAAUUUAAUACGGUAAAAAAUUGAUAACUUAUUUUUAAAACAUGUUUAGAUAAUGAAUAAUAUUUAACAAAUAUAAUAAUGACAUAAUAGUUAUAUCAAAUUGUAUAACUCAUGGAAGUAUAUAAUUUUAUCAUAUUUAUAGUCUCAUACUUAUAUAUUCAUAAAUUAUA
rnacentral:lncRNA from 1 species